CACAUCGACGGGGAGGUUUGGCACCUCGAUGUCGGCUCAUCGCAUCCUGGGGCUGAAGUAGGUCCCAAGGGUUGGGCUGUUCGCCCAUUAAAGCGGUACGCGAGCUGGGUUCAGAACGUCGUGAGACAGUUCGGUCCCUAUCUGUCGCGGGCGCAGGAAAUUUGAGAGGAGCUGUCCUUAGUACGAGAGGACCGGGAUGGACGUACCGCUGGUGUACCAGUUGUCUCGCCAGAGGCACGGCUGGAUAGCCAAGUACGGCAGGGAUAAGCGCUGAAAGCAUCUAAGCGUGAAGCCCCCCUCAAGAUGAGAUUUCCCAGUAAGUAAGACCCCUUGUAGACGACGAGGUAGAUAGGUUCGGGGUGGAAGCGCGGCAACGUGUGGAGCUGACGAAUACUAAUCGGUCGAGGGCUUAUCCUA
rnacentral:rRNA from 1 species